rnacentral:lncRNA from 1 species
GGGAGCAGGGAGCGUGUGACAGGGACAGUGAAGAAACAGGCUUGGCUGGAGCCCAGGGUCCAAAUCAGGGAGCAGAAAGAAAACUACUUUCAAUGUCUCUCUUCCUUAUCAUCAGAACACAUCUAUCACAGAACACCUACAUGCACAAGAGGCCUGGCUGCCUGUGAGGUCAUAGAGGAGUGAGACGCACGGCUGUGCCUUCCAUGAGCUCAUGAGGUGGUUAAGAUGAUACACACACAUGCAAACAAGCACACCUAAGGCAGAGUGCCACAGGAAGGACAGAGAUCAUUCGUGUGCGAGUGGUGAUCCAGCCAGGGCUUCUUGAGAGGCUUCUUCACACCAUGCCAAGCACUGCAGAUGCAGAGUCAGACAAGGAAAGAUAACAGAGGGUCCUCAUCACAGCAACUUCUGUGCCCAUUGUCACCUGAAAAGGGGAGAGUGAUGAACCCCUGGGGCCCACAACAAAUCUAAGGCACUCCAUGAAUCUCAGGAUUGCUCAGCUGAAGUCUGGGCCAGCUAGGCCUGGUUGGCCAUCAGCUUAACUGCAGGAUGCACAAAAUGUAUCGUCAGGUGCCUCAGGGGGAAACUGAGGUUCUGCGAGAGGACGGAGCCCCAGCAAAGGCUGACAAUGCAGAAGUCAGUACUAGAUGCCAAGGAGUGCAUUCCGGGCAAGAAGGUUGUGAGAGAACAGCAAGGGGCCACAGAGAAGCUGAGAAGUCAUUCCACAGCCCCUGGUCACAGCCACCAGAGCAGCCUGAAGGUCCAUGUGGCCCAGCAGCUUCCAAGCUCCCGGCUUGGGGUGAGGCGAGUUUAGCCUGCUGCAGCCUCUUGCCCCCUUUCUCCCACCCUUCCAGGCCCUCUAGGGUCUGUUUCCCUGAAGCUUUGUC